rnacentral:sRNA from 1 species
AGUUUUUAAAGAGUUUUUU